CGGUACAGAUCCAGCUUGCUGGAUGCUGACGAGCGGCGGACGGGUGAGUAAUGCAUAGGAAUCUGCCCGAUAGUGGGGGAUAACCUGGGGAAACCCAGGCUAAUACCGCAUACGUCCUACGGGAGAAAGGGGGCUCCGGCUCCCGCUAUGGGAUGAGCCUAUGUCGGAUUAGCUAGUUGGUGAGGUAACGGCUCACCAAGGCCACGAUCCGUAGCUGGUCUGAGAGGAUGAUCAGCCACAUCGGGACUGAGACACGGCCCGAACUCCUACGGGAGGCAGCAGUGGGGAAUAUUGGACAAUGGGGGAAACCCUGAUCCAGCCAUGCCGCGUGUGUGAAGAAGGCCCUCGGGUUGUAAAGCACUUUCAGCGAGGAAGAACGCCUAGCGGUUAAUACCCGCUAGGAAAGACAUCACUCGCAGAAGAAGCACCGGCUAACUCCGUGCCAGCAGCCGCGGUAAUACGGAGGGUGCAAGCGUUAAUCGGAAUUACUGGGCGUAAAGCGCGCGUAGGUGGCUUGAUAAGCCGGUUGUGAAAGCCCCGGGCUCAACCUGGGAACGGCAUCCGGAACUGUCAAGCUAGAGUGCAGGAGAGGAAGGUAGAAUUCCCGGUGUAGCGGGUGAAAUGCGUAGAGAUCGGGAGGAA
rnacentral:rRNA from 1 species